rnacentral:snoRNA from 1 species
AUACCAUGAUGAGGACAUCUGCUAAGUAACUCCUUAAAUUUUUCUCAUGCAUCAUACAAACUCUCAUCUUCAAGUUGAUGGAAAGAUGUGAUCUCGUUCCUCAAUUU